AGUGGCUACUGCUUGACUGAACACUUUACCGAGCUGUCCUAUGGUGCUCUUCACCGAGUGUCAUAGGCGAUCGGUACGUUUACUUUGAAAAAAUUAGAGUGCUCAAAGCAGGCCGUUCAAGCCCGAAUAAUGUUGCAUGGAAUAAUGGAAUAGGACCUCGGUUCUAUUUUGUUGGUCUUCGGAAUCUGAGGUAAUGAUCAAUAGGGACAGACGGGGUCAUUCGUAUUGCGGCGCUAGAGGUGAAAUUCUUGGACCGUCGCAAGACGAACUAAAGCGAAAGCAUUUGACAAGAAUGUUUUCAUUAAUCAAGAACGAAAGUUAGAGGUUCGAAGGCGAUCAGAUACCGCCCUAGUUCUAACCAUAAACGAUGUCAACCAGUAAUUCGCCUGAGUUCCUUAAAUGACUCGGCGAGGGACUUCCGGGAAACCAAAGUCUUUCGGUUCCAGGGGAAGUAUGGUUGCAAAGCUGAAACUUAAAGAAAUUGACGGAAGGGCACCACCAGGAGUGGAGCCUGCGGCUUAAUUUGACUCAACACGGGAAAACUCACCCGGCCCGGACACUGGAAGGAUUGACAGAUUGAGAGCUCUUUCUUGAUUCAGUGGGUGGUGGUGCAUGGCCGUUCUUAGUUGGUGGAGUGAUUUGUCUGGUUAAUUCCGAUAACGAACGAGACUCUAGCCUACUAAAUAGAUUGUCGGCUUACAAACGCCGACAAGACUUCUUAGAGGGACAGGCGG
rnacentral:rRNA from 1 species